AGAUCCGGGCCAAGUCAGAGUACUCCAAACUGUCUGCGACCUGGAGACAAUUACAGCGAUGGCCCUCCUCAACAAUCGGGCCAGCAGUUGAGUGUCAAAAUGCUGUCCCUUUUGGUCGCCCUGGAAACAAACCUGCUGGAACAGGAAAGCGCAUCCUUGACCGGAAAAAAGUUGAAGGAAUCCUAACGUACGUCCGGAGAUGCGGUACCCUUCCUAAUUGGGACAAUAUUGAGGAGGCCAACCUCAAGAAAGCUUUGGUAAACAAAUGUCGGGCCAGAGCAGGUUUUAAGUAGGCCCUUGUAACUGCCAAGUUCAUUCUGGGGUAGGAUGUUUCCUUUGUAAACAUGUUAAUAUUUUGGUCUGGGGUUGCACAGUAUAUAUUGUAUAAAAUUGCCAUAUGAUGUAGCUUUUAGUACCACGUUAUAUUGUGACAAUGCAUAUUGAGCUGUGCUGUGUCUCGCAAAUUUGGCACCGAUGCAACCUCACUAACAAGCUAGCGGCUAAUAUCCCUUCACAGUGCAAAGCUGUUUCCAAAUAAAAAAAUAAUACAACUGGAAAUGACGCAGUAUGUUACUGCUUACAUAAUCGGGUAUAUUAGUAGCUUUUGUAACCAAUUUCAAAAUGUUUCAAUGAUCAUUUAUGUACCAAAUGUUAUAUUGUUAUCGCAGGAGGCUGUUCUAUUGUUUACAACAGUGUUUCUUAAUCACAGGGCUGGGGCCCACUGUUUGGCUGCGAGUACCCCUUGGGGGCCGCCAACAAAUAUCUGUUUCUUAGCUGUGGUCCGUCCAUAUGGGAUGCAAUGGUACUCGGUUUUAACACACUUUAGUGUAAGAUGACUAAUUCAGUGUUUGUAUUUGAGUGGACCCCAGACCCCUUUGUACUGGAAAAGUUGGUUGGGCCCCAAGGUAAAAAAUGUUAAGUAUCCCUGGUUUUCAAUGUGUGAUUAUUUUUUGUAUGUAGACCAGUUCCAAACAGCCCGGUUACAAUUUUAUACAUGUAUUUCCGUUUUUGCUUGGAAUAUUUAAAAAAUGGAAAAUGUUGUCAUUUACUCACCCUCUUACUGAGAUGAAGUCAGGUGGGGUUUUUUAACUACGGCUUCCACCAUUCUAGUCACUGCCGUUGUGUCCUUGGGCAAGACACUUUACCCACCAGCUCCCAGUGCCACCCACACUGGUUUAAAUGUAACUUAGAUAUUGGGUUUCACUAUGUAAAGCGAUUUGAGUCACUAGAGAAAAGCACUAUAUAAAUAUAAUUCACUUCACAACAACAAAGUGAGUACUUGGGGUUAAAUUCAUUUAUAUUUGUAUUUUUUGUAUAUUGUUUUCUAUGUUGUUUUAAUUAUUGUGAAUGUCAAUAUGUACAUUAUGUUUGUAAUAAUUAACUACAUUUAAAUUGUUGUAUUUAAUCUAUUUUUAUGUCUUAUGUUUUGUAUUUUUGUAUAGCCAAAUAAAGUUAUACACC